UACGAAGGGGGCUAGCGUUGUUCGGAAUCACUGGGCGUAAAGCGCACGUAGGCGGAUGUGCCAGUCAGGGGUGAAAUCCCGGAGCUCAACUUCGGAACUGCCUCUGAUACAGCACGUCUUGAGUUCGGAAGAGGUGGGUGGAAUUCCUAGUGUAGAGGUGAAAUUCGUAGAUAUUAGGAAGAACACCGGUGGCGAAGGCGGCCCACUGGUCCGGUACUGACGCUGAGGUGCGAAAGCGUGGGGAGCAAACAGGAUUGAGAUACC
rnacentral:rRNA from 1 species